AUAAAAAACCUAACCCUAAUCUUUUUUUCUCUCAGCCGCUCUCAUUCACUCAUACCCUCACCCCACAAACUCAAAUUCAAUAUCCAGAUCUGUGAGCAUCGAAGAAUCAAGAUCUAAACAAGUUACAGAUAAUCAAAACACGAACACGUCAAGAACUGAAAAUCGAAGAUCCAAGAAUACGAUUUGUUUCAUACGAAGAUCCAAGUUUCUGAUUCAUACGAUUCAGUUCCAUGACGGGUUACAAAUAUGAACAAUUAAUAAUUAUUUUAGUUAAUAAUCUAAUUAAUGUUUCUUUUAAAUUAAUGAAUGUUUCAUGUAGUUUUAAAUCAUAAUGGAGAAUGUUUUCAUAGCAAUGGUAUCAACCUAAGACGUUACUUAGAAGUAUUAUUUAGGUUAAUUUUGUUAUUUGACUAGUUUACUUGGGUACUGUAUUUUCUGAAUAGUAUUGCUAUGUAUUUCAUUUUGUUUGCUAAUAAAUUUGUUUGCUAAUUAUUAAGUUAUAUAUACCAUAAAAGUUGUUGUGUAAAUAGAUUCUAACUUACAUUUGUGAGAGGGUGAUUGUGUGUGCAGAAUUGGAUGUUUAUAGUGGUGUCAAGUGUGGACUCCUGGGGACUAUUGUUCUGCUGCAGAUAUGGACAUAUGGUAGCUCUAUAUAUAGUUGUUUUUAUUGGUUUUAGUUAACCUAGGAUAAUUGUUUAAUUAGUAUGGUUUCACUUAUUUUGGUUGAAUUUGGGGUUAUCUCUAGUAAGUUAAUUGAGUCUAUUUAUUACAAUCAUAUUGUUCAUCUUCCUGUUUUUGAUCUCUUUAAAUACAACAACAUGCUUCUGAUGUGUCCUUUUUGCAUCAUUUGAAGAAGUGAAGAUGGAUCUGCUGCAGGUUUCAUAUGGUGCCUUGAAAAGUUGGAAGGAUGGAUUGGAAUCGGAUGCUUGGAUUUGGAAGUUUAUGUUUUUAUUUCAACUUUUAAAACAAUGUUUUGGGUUAUUUUGGACAUGUUAUGUGAUAUUUUGGAACAAGGGAUUGUGUUGGAUUGUUGGUUUGUUUUUUUGUUAACAUCAGGUUAUGUGUUAUUUUAGAACAAGGUAAUGUAUUAUUUUAGAACAAUGGAUUGUGUUAGUUUGUUUU